AGCAGCCGCGGUAAUUCCAGCUCCAAUAGCGUAUAUUAAAGUUGUUGCAGUUAAAAAGCUCGUAGUUGAAUUUCGGAAUCAAUAUAUUGGUCGUGCCUUGGUACGUACUGAUAUUAUUGGUUUCUACCUUCUGAAGAACCUCGAUGUCAUUAAUUUGGUGUCUUGGGGAAUCAGGACUGUUACUUUGAAAAAAAUUAGAGUGUUUAAAGCAGGCUCGCGCUUGAAUACAUUAGCAUGGAAUAAUGAAAUAGGACGUUUGAUUCUAUUUUGUUGGUUUCUAGGAUCGACGUAAUGAUUAAUAGGGAUAGUUGGGGGCAUUAGUAUUCAAUUGUCAGAGGUGAAAUCCUUGGAUUUAUUGAAGACUAACUACUGCGAAAGCAUUUGCCAAGGAUGUUUUCAUUAAUCAAGAACGAAAGUUAGGGGAUCGAAGACGAUCAGAUACCGUCGUAGUCUUAACCAUAAACUAUGCCGACUAGGGAUCGGAUGAUGUUAAUUUUUUAAUGACUCA
rnacentral:rRNA from 1 species